CGCACGCUGGCGGCGUGCUUAACACAUGCAAGUCGAACGGUGAUGGACGGAGCUUGCUUCGUCUUGAUCAGUGGCGAACGGGUGAGUAACAUGUGAGUAACCUGCCCCUGACUCUGGAAUAACUUCGGGAAACCGAUGCUAAUACCGGAUAUGACACAGAGCCGCAUGGUUUCUGUGUGGAAAGUUUUUCGGUUGGGGAUGGACUCGCGGCCUAUCAGCUUGUUGGUGAGGUAAUGGCUCACCAAGGCGACGACGGGUAGCCGGCCUGAGAGGGCGAUCGGCCACACUGGGACUGAGACACGGCCCAGACUCCUACGGGAGGCAGCAGUGGGGAAUAUUGCACAAUGGGCGAAAGCCUGAUGCAGCGACGCCGCGUGGGGGAUGAAGGCCUUCGGGUUGUAAACUCCUUUCAGUAGGGAAGAAGCGAAAGUGACGGUACCUACAGAAGAAGCACCGGCUAACUACGU
rnacentral:rRNA from 1 species